AACCAUUCAAAUUCUGGUACAUAGAUAUAGUAGGCACUCAGUAUGUAUUUGCUGGAUAAAUGGAUAUUGAUAGUGCUUCUUAGCAGGAGGAAUUUAUAGACUGAGACUCGGUGUCAGUCUUCCUGCCCAGGGAGGCACCUACUCUGUUCCUAACACCCAGCAGCUGUUGAUACCUGCAGGUAUCACAGGGUAUUACAAGUUGAGUGUUAGGAACUAGGAUGAUGCCUGUCUUAGGAAAAGAUCUUCUGGUUGAAAGUAUCUUGAGGGGACUAACUUUAAGUCCGCCAGGCUGUUGGUGCUCAUACCCUCAGUCUGGGCGAUUUUCGUCCAAGGAUGGUCGUGGGCUGAGUGGCGUUUUAGAACUUCACAUCACUUUAGUUUAGACUCAUUUGGUGUUAAGGAAUUGAGAUUCACUAACAUUAGCUAAACUAAAGGGAUUUAUUGUAAGUAGUGAUCAUAAGUCAUUAAUCCAAAAGGAAUCAUCCCAGGCUUCCUGUGGCUCAGGUAGAGGGUGGUUCUGGGCUCAGAGUUGUUCAGAAGCCCUCGGCUGCAGGGCUCUGUGCCUUUCCUGCUGAUGCUCCUCCGUUAUUAUCCUGUGAAUACACAUCUGCAGUGUUUCACCUGCCUCCCCUCAAACCUAGCAGAACCUGUGGCAGCAGACAACAGAGGGAAAGUCAUCAGUUAGCAUGAAGAUUGGCAGCCCUCCCUGAUGAAUUAGCUGUGGCCCAGAAGGACAGGGUGAAGGGUCACGUGCCUGUGCAUGGGGAGCAGAUCGUAACUGGCUGGCGAGGAUGACUGCGGAAGCCCUUAAUUUAGUAUCUCUCUUGUAACCAAUAGAAUGCGACCGAAGUGACACUGCCCGCCUUCUGGGUCAAAAAAGGCCCUGCAAUUUCCACCUAGUUCUCUUGAAAUGCUUGCUCUCGAGAUGAUCCCUUUUGGAAGGUAGCAGCCACACUAUGAGAAGACCAGACCACUUGGAGAGGCCAUCGUGGGUGUUCCAGUCAGUAGUCCCAGCUGAGACCAGCCUUUGCAUCAUACCAGCCAGGCACCAGGCUGGCAUGGGGACAACGUGAUAGAGCCCAGCACCAAGAUGUCCUGCUUCAGAGGCUGGAAGAUCACCAGGAAGAAAGGAGAUGUGGUAGCCAUGACACUGCUAGAAGCCCUGGACUCCAUCAUGGCCUCGCCUGCCCUGUGGACAAGCCCCUGUGGCUGCCUCUGCAGAAUGUAUGCAAGAUUGGGGGCAUCGGCACCGUGUCCGUGGGCCAGGCAGAAACAUGCUUUCUCAAGCCAGGCAUGGUGGUGACCUUUGCCUCCUGCAACAUCACUAUGAAAGUCAAGUCUGGGGACACCUGGGUGGCUCAGCGAUUGAGCGGCUGCCUUCGGCUCAGGGCGUGAUCCCACGGUCCCGGGAUCGAGUCCCACAUCGGGCUCCCUGCAUGGAGCCUGCUUCUCCUCCCUCUGCCUACGUCUCUGUCUCUCAUGAACAAAUAAAUAAAAUCUUAAAAAAAAAAAAAGUCCCAAGUCUGUCAAGAUGCACCAUGAGGCCCUGGCUGAGGCCCUGUCCGGUGACAACGUGGGCUUCAAUGUGAAGAAUGUGUCAGUGAAGGACAUCAGGUGGGCUGCGUGGCAGGAGACAGCAAGGAUGACCUGCCCUCAGAGAUGGGGAGCUUCAUCUCCCAGGUGAUCAUUCCCAGCCGCCCCGGCAGCAUUGCAGCUGGUCACCAGUUCAGGAUGGCCACACAGCCCACAUUGCCUGCAAGUUUGCUGACCUCAGGGAGAAGAUUGACCGGUGUUGAGGCAAGAAGCUGGAAGACAAUCUCAAAGCCCUGAAGUCUGGGGACUCAGCCAUUGUUCAGAUGAUUCCACAAAAGCUCAUGUGUGUGGAAAGCUUCUCAGGGUACCCCUACCUUGGUCGCUUCACUGUGUGUGACAUGAGGCGGACAGUGGCUGUUGGGGUCCUCAAGGCUGUGGAGAAAAAAACAGCGACUGGUGGCAAAGUCACCAAGUCUGCUAUGAAAGCGGCCACGAAGUGAGUGGUGACAGCUACUUCAGGCCUUUCCAGGCCAGGGGCCGCCCAGGAGGAACCACAGCUGGGAAAGAACAGCUCAAGGAGGAGCGUUGGACUUACUCUUCCCUUGGCCGAACUAUCUUAAACCUGUCCCUGCUAAUGCAGUUUUCGUUUUGCUGAUGAGUUUGAGGCAUGAGAAUAAAGUGCAGCAAAUCUUUUGGGGGGAGGGGGAUGGAAGGUUUUUCUUUUACUUAGAAAGGCUUCUUUAAAAUUUAUUUACUUAUUUAUUUUAAGUAAUCUCUACAGCCAACAUAAGGCUCAGACUCACACCCUGAGAUCAAGAGUCACAUGCUCUUCCAACUGAGCCAUCUAGACACUCUAUAAUUAUAAAAAUAUUCAACUCUAUAAUUUAUGACCACUCUUCUGCCUGUAGCAUCCCACACCUCCUUAACUGAGUAACAUACUCCCCUUUUUAUGUAUUUACUUAAUCAUUUAACAAAUAUUGAUUGAGUGCCUACUGUGAGCCAGAUAUUGGGGAUUCAAGGGUGAUCAAGAAAGACAAAAUGAGGGGCAGCCAGGUUGGCUCAGCGGUUUAGCAUCCCCUUCGGCCCAGGGCGUGAUCCUGGAGACCCGAGAUCGAGUCCUGCAUUGGGCUCCCUGCAUGGAGCUUCUCCCUCUGCUUCUGUCUCUCUCUCUCUCUCUCUCUCUCUCUCAAUGUGUGUGUGUGUGUGUGUGUGUGUGAUAUGAAAAAUAAAAUCUUUUUAAAAAUGCAAGUUCUAGAGUUAAUCUACAAUGGAAUUCCAACUCCAUCACUUGCUAGCUUGUGGGACCUUGGAUAAAUGUCUUAAUUAUCUGUAUCUCAGUUUCCUCAGGUACAAAAUGGGAUUGUUGCAAAAUUAUGGUGGUUAUAAGAAUUAGAUGAGAUGUGUGGUGGCUUCAAAAUACGUCUGCAAAUUCUUCAGCACUCUUCCCUUCAAGAUAUGGGGCUGAAGUUCUCUUCCCUUGACUGUGAGUGAGCUAAACAACUAACAGAAUAUGGCAGAAGGGAUGUCUUUGAGAUGAGGACAUAAAAGGUAUUAUCCUUUGGGUCACUUGCUCCGGGGAAAGUCAGCUGCCUUCUUGUGAGGACACUCAAUCAACCGUUGGAGAGGCCCACGUAGUGAGGAGCUGAGACCUCCUGCCAACAGCCUGUGAGGGCGUCGUCUUGAAGGUGGAUCUUCCAUUCACCGGCAAGACUUCAGAUGUCUACAGUCCCUGCUGAUAUCCUGACAGAAACCUCCUGAGAGGUUACCUAAACCAGAACGAAACUGUAAAGCCCUCCAGAGUUCCUUACCCUGAGAAAAUGUGAUAAUAAAUGUUCACUGUUUAAACCAU